AAUAAGUAGCACAUAUGGAACUUCGGUAUUUGGUCCAUCGAUACUCCAUAAGGUUCUCAGAGAAUGCAAGUGUUCUGCCGUCUUUGGAGCUUUGUCUGCAAACAGCUCAAAGGAGAUGCACCCCAAAGGCUCACUGUU
rnacentral:lncRNA from 1 species